CCAAUGUGGAUAUCCUGUGAGGUUGCUCUCAUAGGCUCUGUCCGGGUGGCAUAUGGGAGCGUAGCGUCUUAUGGCGCAAUGACGUACAGUCCCCUUCCACAACAUUGGAGAGCAUGAUUGUUCCCGGCCUACAGGCUGGUGUGGACAGUAUCCUGUAUAUUCCUACAACUUCCCAGAGCUUCCCUGCAAUGACUGGGAAGAUAAACCAUGCAGGACACAUUA